GAUUUUAACUGAAAAAGUUAUCAACAACAAAAUUAUAUAACUCAUCAAGAUCUAUAACUUCUAUUUUAGUCAUUUCUUCAUCCGACAAAGUGAUUUGUAACAUUGUUCACAAAAUGUGCAUCUCUCGAGAUAUGUAAAUUUUAAGAAUAUGUUACGAUCACCUUAUCGGAUGAAGAAAUGACCAAAAUAGAAGUUAUAGAUCUUGAUGAGUUAUACAACUUUAUUGUUGAUGACUUUUUCAGCUGAAAUC
rnacentral:pre_miRNA from 1 species